GCCUUCGUGGCGUAACGGUCAUGUACUUUCGGCGCGUAUUCGAGAGGUCCGUGGUUCGAGUCCCGGCGAGGGCA
rnacentral:tRNA from 1 species